AGGCAGAAGUUCAAAGGAUUUAAAACAAAACAAAACCGAAGAGUAAAGGGCCAGCAAAGACAAGCACGUUAUUUCAGAGAGACCUUCCUACAGCACAAAAACCACACACGCAUAACCAUUUAGGCACCCCUCCCUCAACGGCGAACCGGUAGCAGCGGCUCCGCCCACCCGCCCGGACAUCAUCACAUUCCGUUUUUGAUGCUUUGCGCAUGUGCAGAAGGUCCUGCACAUGCGCAGAGGUGAUACGCGCAAGCAAAGCGAGCACACUUCCAUUUGCGAACAGGUAGCGAAGCUGUUUCAGAUUCAGAUUGCAGAACAAAAGCAAGAAUAAAGCCAAGUCAGGAUAGAAGGAUGAUUUGGAUUGUAAUCUAAAAUCAACUGAAGAUGCCAGUUAUUUCCUCAAUCCAUGGAUUUCUAUACACAGGUGCAUUGGCAGCUCACAUAAAAUGUUAAAAUUGAGAUCAAAUAAGAACAUGAAAAUAGUCUUAAAGCGGAGUUUGCCAGUGCAAUAAAUAAGGCC